rnacentral:lncRNA from 10 species
CGGCGCCCCAGAUCCGGCCGUCCGCCCUGCGCGUGCGCGGCCCGACCCCGCCGCGGUCUGGCUGUAAGGGCGCUGGAGGGGAGCUGGGCUGCCCCAGCCUUCAAUGCUGGAGGGACGGCCGCGUGGGGCUUCAGAAAGGCUAGGCGCCGAGGAGUGUAAGCAGCGUGUGCCCAUUUAAAGACAAAAUCAGUGUGUUUUUCAGGCAGAAACGAGUCUUUUUUUAACCAUAUUCAUCACCUGGUGCCAGCAACAGAAGUGUUCCCUAAAAAUUCCUAGAAUAAACCAACACGUGCUGACUAGAUUCUCCAUCUUCAUAAACGGUGAUACAAACUAUGCACAUCAUAACUACCAGCUUCAUGAGGUCAAGACUAAAUCAAAAAUUCUCAAGGACUUUUCUAAAAAUUUUUUUAGCAUAAACUGUUUCCUCUAACUUAAACUUCUCUUAAGUGAACGUGUCUUUCCACUGGGAUGACUGUCUACAUGCUCAGGAAUCCUGAAUUCAUGACUAUGUUCAACUCCCACGACCAUUUUUAAAUCAUCAAAAUGGCAGCAAAUGUCAUUACCUGGACCAAAAAGCUGCAGGUUUUGUGGCAAAUGGGAAAUGUGUUAUAGAAUAUGACUGGGAAAGAGGGAUUUCUUAGUGCUGCCCAGAAUUAAUUCAGCAAACACUGAACAUUACUACGUGCCACAUAUAGGAUCAUACUGCAUUUCAGGUCACCAUCAAAGGUAAAUUACAAGGCUGGGCGCAGUGGCUCAUGCCUGUAAUCCCA